UCUCUGGAGGACUAGGGGUUAGGCCUCAGCACUCUCACUGCUAUAGCCCGGGUUCGAUUCCUGGCCAGGGAA
rnacentral:tRNA from 1 species